UUUAUAUCUAUACAAUACAGCGUCCGUUUCAGCAACAUGCUUCAACAAAAAGAGUAAUCGGCUGUCAUACUUAGGUUUCCAACGAUGAUAAAUGUAUUCAUGUUUAAUUAACACACUCGUCAGUUCUUAUAGCGCUUCCAUAGAGAACAGAGCUAACAAGAAAAGCGAUUUAAAAGAAAAUAACUCGGGAUACUGAAUACAAAGUGAGUAUGAGUAUCUGAUAAAAAUCUACAAAUUGUUUAAUUAACUUGUAAGUGAAGCAUGCGUGCAGUGAUUGAUUGUAGCGUAAUUGAAUCAGAGGUUUGACAAAAACAAAUUUUAUGACCCUAUAUUCCUGAAUACAUUCGACGAUCUACAAAUCCUCUGCUUAUGUGGCAAUUUCUUUGAUUUGAACACACGUCUUCCUGUUUUAUACAGUUAAAUGAUCAACAAGCUGAACAAUGCAAACAGCGGUAUUUUACUUCCAGGCUUUUCUGCAAUGUCUAAUUAAUUUUUGCCCAAAUGUAGAUCUCUGAAAGGAAAUCUUAAUCUAACUGUUUCAGAUGUUUCCAAAUUCUCUUACAGGAAUCAAGCUCGUAAACAGACCUUGUCGACGUUGUCUUAGUCAAACUAAUUUUGUAAGUUACUAGAUAUUAUUAAAGUGAAGCUGUUCGGCAACAGGGGCUAAAUGAAAAGUAUACACUGGAUGAAUGUAUAUAUGCAUCAAUUUUAUGUGCUGCAAAAUUAACUACUUGUAUUUUUAAAAGUCAUAAAAUGUCAUGUCAUGUCACGUCAUGUACUAGUUAAAACACAAGCAGCUGAUCUUUAUCUGAUCGACCCGAAGGCGAGAGUUUGUAUAUAAGAUAAAGAUCGGAUGCGAAUGUUUUAACGUAUGAAAAAAUGACCCAUCCUAAAAAACGACCAUAAACAUUGUCUAUAAGCCAAGAAAUCAAAGCUGAAGUUUAUGUAAAGCAGAACAAAUCUUUAUCCGAUUUAUAAACAUUGAUUAAACAUUCAUUUCUUUUGAAUUUUCGUCAUGAAUUUUUAAUGAGUACUUUAAGUUAUGUUAUCAUGUUCUGUUCUGACAUGUUGUGCUGUAUUAUGUUGUGUGUCGUGUCAUGAUUUCUUGAGUUAUAAAAUUGAGCUCCGUAAACGUAUAUUUAUCAUAGAUGUUCUCGUUUUAACUUUACCAGCACGAUGCGAAACGAAUUGAUUACAUAUCUUGUGAUUGCUGUCGUUAACACUGCGUGUGCUGUUGAUCCAGCGGACCCAAGAG